rnacentral:rRNA from 1 species
UACGGAAGGCAGCAGUGGGGAAUAUUGCACAAUGGGCGAAAGCCUGAUGCAGCUAUGCCGCGUGUAUGAAGAAGGCCUUAGGGUUGUAAAGUACUUUCAUCGGGGAGGAAAAACAAAACUAAUAAUUUUAUUUCUUGACGUUACCCGAAAAAGAAGCACCGGCUAACUCCGUGCCAGCAGCCGCGGUAAUACGGAGGGUGCUAGCGUUAAUCAGAAUUACUGGGCGUAAAGAGCACGUAGGUGGUUUUUUAAGUCAGAUGUGAAAUCCCCUGGGCUUAACCUAGGAACUGCAUUUUGAAACUGAAAUACUAGAGUAUCGUAGAGGGAGGUAGAAUUCUAGGUGUAGCGGUGAAAUGCGUAGAUAUCUGGAGGAAUACCUGUGGCGAAAGCGGCCUCCUAAACGAAUACUGACACUGAGGUGCGAAAGCGUGGGGAGCAAACAGGGAUUAGAUACC